GCGGACACUCUAGCCGGGUUGCACCGCACAAAGCAGCCCAGCCCCACACCCCG
rfam:Human gut metagenome DNA, contig sequence: F2-V_005253.